GUUUGAUUCCCCGCUCAGGAUGAACGCUGGCGGCGUGCUUAACACAUGCAAGUCGAACGGUGAAGCAGAGCUUGCUCUGUGGAUCAGUGGCGAACGGGUGAGUAACACGUGAGCAAUCUGCCCCUGACUCUGGGAUAAGCGCUGGAAACGGCGUCUAAUACCGGAUACGAGCUGCGACCGCAUGGUCAGUAGCUGGAAAGAAUUUCGGUCAGGGAUGAGCUCGCGGCCUAUCAGCUUGUUGGUGAGGUAAUGGCUCACCAAGGCGUCGACGGGUAGCCGGCCUGAGAGGGUGACCGGCCACACUGGGACUGAGACACGGCCCAGACUCCUACGGGAGGCAGCAGUGGGGAAUAUUGCACAAUGGGCGCAAGCCUGAUGCAGCAACGCCGCGUGAGGGAUGACGGCCUUCGGGUUGUAAACCUCUUUUAGCAGGGAAGAAGCGAAAGUGACGGUACCUGCAGAAAAAGCGCCGGCUAACUACGUGCCAGCAGCCGCGGUAAUACGUAGGGCGCAAGCGUUAUCCGGAAUUAUUGGGCGUAAAGAGCUCGUAGGCGGUCUGUCGCGUCUGCUGUGAAAACCCGAGGCUCAACCUCGGGCCUGCAGUGGGUACGGGCAGACUAGAGUGCGGUAGGGGAGAUUGGAAUUCCUGGUGUAGCGGUGGAAUGCGCAGAUAUCAGGAGGAACACCGAUGGCGAAGGCAGAUCUCUGGGCCGUAACUGACGCUGAGGAGCGAAAGGGUGGGGAGCAAACAGGCUUAGAUACCCUGGUAGUCCACCCCGUAAACGUUGGGAACUAGUUGUGGGGUCCAUUCCACGGAUUCCGUGACGCAGCUAACGCAUUAAGUUCCCCGCCUGGGGAGUACGGCCGCAAGGCUAAAACUCAAAGGAAUUGACGGGGACCCGCACAAGCGGCGGAGCAUGCGGAUUAAUUCGAUGCAACGCGAAGAACCUUACCAAGGCUUGACAUAUAGAGGAAAUGUCUGGAAACAGUCGCCCCGCAAGGUCUCUAUACAGGUGGUGCAUGGUUGUCGUCAGCUCGUGUCGUGAGAUGUUGGGUUAAGUCCCGCAACGAGCGCAACCCUCGUUCUAUGUUGCCAGCACGUAAUGGUGGGAACUCAUGGGAUACUGCCGGGGUCAACUCGGAGGAAGGUGGGGAUGACGUCAAAUCAUCAUGCCCCUUAUGUCUUGGGCUUCACGCAUGCUACAAUGGCCGGUACAAAGGGCUGCAAUACCGUGAGGUGGAGCGAAUCCCAAAAAGCCGGUCCCAGUUCGGAUUGAGGUCUGCAACUCGACCUCAUGAAGUCGGAGUCGCUAGUAAUCGCAGAUCAGCAACGCUGCGGUGAAUACGUUCCCGGGUCUUGCACACACCGCCCGU
rnacentral:rRNA from 1 species